AACAGCUGCGAUUUCAGUGUCAUUCCGGCCGCUGUCCUAUACACCCGUUCGGUUAGUCUUCGCGCCGAGGGAGAGAAUGAUAGGCGGGAAUGGAUUUCCAUUAUCAACUAAGAAAUGUUUCUUGGCCUUCCUGGCGGUGUCACUGGCCAUGCUGUGCUUUCUGGUUCACUUCCCCAAGAACUCCUAUCAACCUAGUCUUCAGAGGAUAAAGCCACCAGUGCCCGAAGCCAUUCAGAUAAAGGACCCGAUAUUCAAAAAAAGCUGUUACAGCUAUUCCAAUAUCGUUGCAACCAAUAAGUGUUGCAAGAUGCUGGAGUAUGAUUUCCCACUCCUUGAGAAAUGUUUGAAAACUUUCAAUGCUACACGGAACAUUCCAAAACCAUCAAACAAUACUCAAAAUUUGAACUCCACCUCAAAAGAAAUUAUCCACAUUAUUUUGGUUGGAGACUCUCACAUGCGGUACCUGUUCAGUGCUGUGUCCCUCCGCCUUGCUAGCCCAGACCUACGAUACAGAAAGAAAGCCAACAAGAAAUGGAGUUACGGAACGACUGCCCUGAAGAAGAUGAGAAACCAGCACUUGGUUACCACUCUCGAGACGAAGCACUUGACGCUUCCCAUCCGUGUCACAUACCACACGGAGUUCUUCCUCGAAGGGCUGCCGCACAUCAUGGACCGCUGGGAGAAGGGAGAGAAACCAAGCCAACCGUCGUUAUCAUGGACUCCGGCCUUCACUUCAUGACAAAGCGCCCCGACUUAAAGGCUAUCCCAUAUGAGAAAUCACUCAUUCAGCUGAAGCCUUAUUUCACCCGACUAGCCGCCACUGUGCCUGUCUAUUAUAAACUCACUGAUGAUCUGCAGGCAGCCAGGCACCGAACGCACAAGAUGAGUCUCAACCUCACCAAGCUGUACAACGAUAUCGCUGUCCGGGAACUCCACGGAACCGGCGUGACCCUGUGGGACAGCACUAUACCCUUAUCCGCCCAGUACAACGACGC
rnacentral:misc_RNA from 1 species